GGCGUGUCGCUGGCUUUGUGAGGGUGGCUGGGGAGGGGUAGCUCGCAUCUAUAGCACAAGCUGCUAGGAAGGUCGUCAUCCAGCAACCUGGUUUUUGUGAAGUUUUAAGUGAAAAUACUUUGAUUUCGCAGUAAAACUCAGUCUUAUUACGUGCAGAUUAAAAAAAAAAAAAAACUGAAACUUCAUUGGUGAUUCCGUCACGCUGACUAAAACAGUACUCAUUACGUAUUCUUGGCAGUUUCUCUUUGCAGAUCUAUUCCUUGUAUACUUGAUUUUUGUGAGUUAUUUGUGACCUGUUUUUUGCAGGGCUUUGUGAUCCUUGUUCUUGGAGAGUGAUGUAAUCAUCUCUUGGUUUGAUGCCAUUUCUGUGGCACUGAGGUCGGCUCACACCAAGUGAAACAACCUUGUGUGGUCAUGUGUGAAUCCAGAGUUAUUCCUCAUGCACAUUUGCCCAGUGUGAUAUUUAUUUAUUUCUUUAUUUUACCGCUGCAGACUGACUUGUUGAAGAGGGUUAGUUGGGGGAGGUGGUGUGGUUGGGUGACUGCUGUCCAGAAAAUGGACAUUUGAAAUGAAGGAAUGGUGGGUGCAGAUAUGGAAUCAUCACACUGAGCAUUUAAAAUGAAUUUCCAUUCUGGUACCCUGCAGGUACUGAUGCCUCCAUCGCUCAAUCUUUUAAAAUGCGUAAUCUAGAGCAGGUUUGAGGUUCUCUGUCCUUUUGGUUCUACUUGCACCAUUUUUGCAGUGCUUUGUCUGUUGGGGGGGGGGCAUGAUGGUCUUCUGCCAGUGACCAGCCUGUGAACCAUGUUGAGGUGCUGUAAAGUCCAUUUGUACUUUACUGCUCUUGGUCCGUUUUCGGCUAAGCGGUGCACUCUCCAUGAAACAGCUUUGCGUGAGCAGGUCGGCUGAUCCCAGCACUAAUGCAGUGUGUGGGGUAUCUCUGGUACCGUGUGAUCUGGUGCUCGUGUGUACCAGCCCAGCGCAAGGGCGACCGUCGUGUGUGUGUGUGUGUAUGUGUCUCUGCACUGUGAUUCAUCCUGCCUCUUCCAUCCUCUGAGUUGAAGGCAUAUCGUUUGGCCCCCCUGAUGAAUCUUGACCCUCUCUUGAAGUGUAAUGCCAGAACCGGCCCUCAUGGGCCCCGCGGCUCCUGCAGGAUGGCACCAGCUUGCCCUCCCCUCAGUCACACUGUGGGGUCUGUGCCAAGGGCCAGCCUGUUCAGGCGGUAGCUCUUAAAGGUGAAACUCGGACUGAGCUGCUGCCUCAUAUCUCUGCCACCGAUAGUCCAAAAGCUUUAGGUCAAGCCUAGCUUGCCAAGCAGUUUUCUCUGUAGUAUCAGUGAAGUAAGUAAAUGUGAUGCUUCUUGCAUGAUUUGGAAGUCUGCCUGUUUACCGUCCCUAGUCUUUUUGUCUGAGCCUGUCGUCUCUGAAACCGUACAGUAUUGUGGCAUAAUUCCUGUCAGCUCAUUUGGUGUUUCUGAAGCGUAGGCAAGGUUUUUUACAGUCUUGCUGUCUCUCUGGUUUAACAGUCCCUAGUUAUGGAAAGAGAACCUGACUCAAGUCGGGUUUUAAAGAAAUUAAUGAUAAUCAUUCAUUCCAAAUAAGUAAAUGGUGUAAACCUUUGCAUAAGCAGUUGAGUAGCCCACAAUUGAACUGCAGUCUAGCAGUUAAUGCCAUGAUAACUGUCAGUUCACUAAACUGGUAUGCUGCUUAUCCCUUAACCUCCAGCUUGUUAGCAAACCCUGCCAGUGCAGAAGGGCCCCCACACAGGAAGUGCCCCGAGGGAAGGCUGCUCUGUGCUCACUCCUGUUCUUUUUGCAGGGGCCUUACCUUGGGGCAGGUGGCUGAGGGGCUGAGCGCCGCCUUAAUGCGAGGUGUAGCGUUUUGAGCACGUUGACAUCCAGGUCUGGCUGAGCCACUGGACAUCGUAUAUCGCUCCAUUGAGUCUAGGCGAUGGAUCGACAGGCCAAGGUUCUAUAGCCUUUGGUCAAGAGGAGGAACUACAGGCACCUUUGGUAUGCUGGGAACUUCUGAGGAGGAAUUCAGUACAUUUUUCAAAUAAAUUGAUUUCAUAACUAAA